GUGUCAGUGGCCAGCACAGCAGGUGGAUCGAGAAUCAACUCUCAGCUCUUGGCCCACCAUGCCAGUUGUUAAAUACUUUGAAAAUCAUCCCUAGGCAGAAACAUUCUGCCUUUGCAAGCGCCAAAGAGCUUUGCGAUCUCCAGAGAGAUUUCACCCAUCUCAUUGCUCUCUGUGUGGAUUUGAAAAAUACAGCACAGAAGGGCAGCUUGUAGGGAGGCUUUGCCACCUGCCUUCAGUGGACUCUGUCUGCGAGUACACAGAGAAUGAUGCCAUUAUAUUUUGGUAGUAAAAGGAACAAAAUAGUAAUUAAAAUAAACGCAGAGGUGCCCAGAGCCUCACGGGACAUUUCUCACUGGUACACAGGCCUCUGGGAAGCAGAAGGGAAUUGAUCACCUUCGCAGCCAAAACCAUGCCAACUCUCUGUAGUUUUGAUUUAUGCCCCUGAAAGUCCAGCCUGUCACUGGGGUAUGACUUCCAUGUAAUUAAGGCACAGCAAGCCGUGGGCACUCCACAGCCCUGCCAUCACCCUGAUGGUUCUCCAGACACAUCCACAGCACUGGGGCAGGUCCUCAGGCUGCCCAUGGAAUUCCCGCAGUCAUCAGGAGGCCUCUGUCAUAACCCAGGGGCCAGAGUUUUAGAAUCAGAAUUAUGGCAACAGCAAGUAAGAAGAUAAUGAUCCUGAGAAUCAACAUCCAAGACCAGUGGUCAGUCCAGCAGGAAAGAGAUAAAGGUGGCAUGGGACAAGUGCCACCCUCGCCUCUGGGGACCAUCACCCAGACACCAAGCAGGCACUCAAAGAAUGAGUUUGGAUUUCAUUCUGCAAGCAAGGAGGAGGAAGGCCUGCACUUAGUCAUCAAGUCGCAGCUCCAGGCCCCUGAUGCAAGCCCUGGGGAGCACAGAAACACCAGAGCCUAAACUACAAGCAUCCUCUGGUAUUCUUAUGUUUUGAAUGUUCCUGGGGCAGGGAGAACAGUGAGUGUUCCUUUGGUGCCCAUUUAUUAAUGUCUUUGUUUUUUUUAAUAUAAAGUCUUUAGAUUAUUUUUAUUUAGUAUUUUGCUACAUUUGCUUCAAAAAAAAUUCUACAAACAUUUAAUGUGCAAUAUUAUUGGAAGGCUGUUUAGAAAGAUUAAAUCAUUUAGAUUAAUUUAAGUUGUAUACAUCCUAACAUCUACAACCUCCUGAAAUUGCAUUACCUUCUAAGAAAAAAGGGGGAGGUGCUAUAUGCUUUUAAACAACCAGAUCUCCUGAGAAGUCUAUCAUAAGAACAGCAUUUCUUCAUUUAGUUGAGCUGUGGAAGGCUGCCAGCUAUGGAGCUCCACAUUCUGGGGGUGGGGAAAGAAAGAAAAUCAAAAAGCAAUUUCCUCCAUGGAUUUUUUUCCAGCUUUAUUGAAAUAUGAUGGACAAAUAAAAAUUACAUUAUUUAAGGUGCAGUUUUAAUACAUGUAUGCAUUUUGAAAUGAUUACCACCAUCAAGCUAAUUAACACAUCCAUCAUCUCACAUAGUUACCCUUUUUUUUCAGUGGGAAGGGAGGUGUAGAUGUGACAUCACUUAAAAUCUGCUGUCCCCAGACACUGAAUCUUAAAAUCUACUCAUCAUCAACUCAUGUAGGUAAACCUAAUAUGUAGAUUCCCAUUCAUUUGGGCUGCUGUAACAAAAUACUAUGAGCUGGGCGACUAAGAAACAGCAGAAAUUGAUUACUUAUGGUUCUGGAGGCUGGGAAGUCCGAGACCAAGGUGCCAGCAGAUUCAGUGUCUCAGCAAACUUCAAGCGUACACUAUAUUAUUGUUAACUGUAGUCACCUUGCUGCACAGUGGGUCUCCAGAACUGAUUCAUCUUAUAACUGAAAAUUUGCACCUUUUGGCCAAGCACCUCUUAUUUUCCCACACCCAGCUUCUGAUAACCACCAUGCUAUUCCCUGUUUUUAGGAGUUCUACUUUUUAAGAUUUCACAUAUAAGGAAUAUCUUAUAUCAUAUCUGAAUUUGGUAGAAAGUGUUGCUGAAAAUUUUAAAGGCUCAUGAUUCAGUCUUUUGUUGUUGUUGUGUUUAAAUUUUCAAAGAAGCCAGAUACAAAGGGCCAUAAAUUAUGUUAUUUCACUUACAUGAAAUGUUAGACUAGGCAAAGCCACAGAGAGGAGUGACUACUCAUGGGUACGGAGUUUCUUUUGGGGUGAUGGAAAAAUUCUGAAACUAGGUAAUGGUGAUGAUUGCACAACAUUUUGAAUGUACUAAAUGCCACUGAAUUGUACUGUUUAAAACUGCUAAAAUGGUAAAAUUUAUGUUAUGCGUAUUUUACCAUAAUUAAAAAUAAAGUAAAAGAUUUAAU
rnacentral:lncRNA from 10 species